CCCAACGAAACAAAGAUCAUUAUUCAUUAGAAUCUAUUUCUGAUUGGCAGGGAACUUUUAGGCUUACUGGAGGGUUUUCCUUCAUUGCUAUUAUUACUUUUACCUAACCCAGUACUUGCCGAUUGUAGCUACCCUAUUUUCCAUAUUUCUAUAUGAUGAGGAACUAACCCACAGUCACACACACACACACAUAUAUAUAUAUAUAUACAGUGACCGAGCGGGUAAUGAAUUAGUAAAGGAGAGGAAAUUUUGAAAGAGCAAAUGUACGCUGCUAAAAUUAGAAAGAGAGGAUUCCCUUUUGUGUUGUUGGCAAUUUUAACAGUAUGCAGCACCACAUUUUAUUGCAAAGCUUCGACUCCUGAUCAUAAGAGCAAGAGCAACAAAACGUUCCGGUGUGAACAUGGCCACCUCGACGAGUGCCUCAUUGCCAGCGAUAUGGAGUUGGAGUUAGUGAUGGAUUCCUACAUCACCAGAAUUCUUGGUGGAUGAGAAGAUAUUACGCUUGAAUCAAAACUACAGUGGUUAGUAUGAGAGAUGCUUUUGGUUGUUAAUUUAAUGAUGUCUGCAAAUCUAUGUGAUAUUGAUCAGUUCGAAGCCAAACAGUUUAUGAAUGCUGAACUUUCCUUCUCUUGUCUUCUUAAUGGGUUCUAUCCAAGCGUUAUUGUAUCCAAGAGUUCUUCUUUCUCGUGUUUUUCUUAAAAAUUAACCCUUCCAUGCUCAAGGAAAAAAGAAACAGACGGAGGAAAAGCUUAGCUUAUGCUUCCCUCGAUAAUUAUUUGGUGCCAAACUAUGUAUAAGGGGUUUUUUCUUUUAUUUUUUUUUUUUUUGUUUUACAUAUGUAUAUGCGGAUUUCUUUA